rnacentral:lncRNA from 1 species
AAUUCCACAUCUUGUGGCAAGGAAAGAAUAAAGCUUAAAUCAAAGUAAAGUAUUAAACUUUAGCAAAUUUAAACAAAGUGCUACAAAAGAAGAAAAAUGAAGCAACCUUAAGUGAAAUAUGAAAGAUAAUGAAACUUGCAAAUACCCAUCUAUCAAAGGAAGGUUUCCCUGAGAGUAGGUGGCAUAUUAAUAAAUAAGGUACGUGUCUAUACUAAGAUGAUUUCAAAAUGGCACUGAAAUGACUUUUUAAUUCAUCUUUCAGUGGGAAGAAGGAGGUUUAUGAAUAAAGAGAAAUUGACAAAGAUUUGACAAACAAAACAGCUCAGUAUAAUAUAUGUAUAGUGUUCUUUGUCUUCAAUAAGGCCAGAUAGUUUCUUUGUUCCCCUAGAAUAGUUACUGAAGUUUUUGGUUUUCCAUCAUGUAUUUAUACAAAGGAACACCUUCUUAAGAAGCACUGAAAGAUUAUUAUUUUCAAUUCUCCAAAAAAAAGAAAAGACAAAAUUUUGCUUACAUUACAGAAAAUCUGACUU